GCCUUAAAUCUAGCCCACACAGCCCACAUGAUACUCCCCAACAUCUGUAAAAAAUAAAACAUUUUAACAUUUUAGUAUAGGCGAUAGAAAAAUAACUAGGCGCUUUAGACGAAGUACCGCAAGGGAAAUAUGAAAUAGAAAUGAAACAACCCUAUAGCCAUAAACAGCAGAGACACCCCCUCGUACCUUUCGCAUCAUGGUCUAGCUAGUCCCCCCCCGAGCAAAAUGAGAAUUUUAGUUCGACACCCCGAAACUAGGCGAGCUACUUCAAAACAGCCCCAAGGGGCCAACCCCUCGCUGUUGCAAAAGCGUGGGAAGAUUUUCAAGUAGAGGUGAUAAGCCUACCGAGCCUAGAGAUAGCUGGUUGUUCAGGAAAAGAGUUUCAGCUCUGCCUUAAGUUUUUUUAUUCCACCAAACAGGCCCUCAAACUUAAGAGUUAUUCAAAUUAGGCACAGCUUAUUUGAAGCAGGAUACAACCUCCACCACCGGGUAAACAAGGGUAGUCAAAACCAAGUGGGCCUAAAAGCAGCCACCUUCUAAAAAGCGUCAAAGCUUAUCUACUCCAACCCAUAAUUUCUAAAAUACUCCCUAACCCUUCACUCCUACUGACCCCUUUUAUAUUAUUAUAAAAAUAAUCAUGCUAGAACUAGUAACAAGAAAUUGCCCUUCUCCACAAUGUAAUUAUAAACCAAAACGGACCAUCCAUUGGUAGUUAACGUAAAUGCAAAAUCCAUAAUAACAUACAACCAGAAAAACCUUAUGGCCCCCCACGUUACCCUAACACUAGAACAUUACCGGAAAGAUUAAAAGAGAAAGAAGGAACUCGGCAAAUCUUUACCCCGCCUGUUUACCAAAAACAUCGCCUCUUGAUUAAUUAUAAGAGGUCCAGCCUGCCCAGUGACAAAAUUCAACGGCCGCGGUACACUAACCGUGCGAAGGUAGCAUAAUCACUUGUUCCUUAAAUAGGGACUAGUAUCAACGGCAUCACGAGGGUUAUACUGUCUCCUCUCUCCAAUCAGUGAAACUGAUCCCCCCGUGAAGAAGCGGGGAUUUAACUAUAAGACGAGAAGACCCCAUGGAGCUUUAAACCCAACAUACACCCCCCACCCAAACACCAACUUAACUUAAAGGACCUGUAUGUUGGCUUUAGGCUGGGGGGGCCACGGAGUAAAAUUAAACCUCCACAACAAAUGGGCUAACACCCUUAUCCAUGAUUUUACAAAUCUAAGAAUUACCAAAAUAAUGUUUAAUGACCCGAUAAUUCGAUCAAUGAACCAAGUUACCCUGGGGAUAACAGCGCAAUCUACUUCAAGAGCUCUUAUCGACAAGUAGGUUUACGACCUCGAUGUUGGAUCAGGGUAUCCUAGUGGUGCAACCGCUACUAACGGUUCGUUUGUUCAACGAUUAAAACCCUACGUGAUCUGAGUUCAGACCGGAGUAAUCCAGGUCGGUUUCUAUCUAUAAAGAACCCCCCCCAGUACGAAAGGACCGGGGCGGUGUGGCCAAUGCACAAACAAGCCAAACUCCUCCAUCAAUGAAACAAUCUUAAUCGACCAAGACCUAACACCCACCCCUAAACUAGGGGU
rnacentral:rRNA from 1 species